rnacentral:rRNA from 1 species
GACGAACGCUGGCGGCGUGCCUAAUGCAUGCAAGUCGCACGGGGUGCCUUCGGGUACUCAGUGGCGCACGGCUGAGUAACACGUACGAACCGACCGUCUCGUGGGGACAACUCCGGGAAACCGGGGACUAAUACCCGCAUACGCUCGCAAGAGGAAAGCUGCAAAGCGCGGGACGACGGGCGGUGCGGCCCAUCAGCUUGUUGGUGUGGUAAUGGCGCACCAAGGCAGUGACGGGUAGCUGGUCUGGGAGGAUGACCAGCCAGACUGGGACUGAGACACGGCCCAGACUCCUACGGGAGGCAGCAGCAAGGAAUUUUCGGCAAUGGGCGCAAGCCUGACCGAGCAACGCCGCGUGGUGGAUGAC